rnacentral:piRNA from 1 species
GGACUCAAAAGGACCAAAAGGCCAGAAUG